rnacentral:rRNA from 1 species
CCUACGGGAGGCAGCAGUGAGGAAUAUUGGUCAAUGGACGAGAGUCUGAACCAGCCAAGUAGCGUGAAGGAUGACUGCCCUAUGGGUUGUAAACUUCUUUUAUAUGGGAAUAAAAUGUUCCACGUGUGGGAUUUUGUAUGUACCAUAUGAAUAAGGAACGGCUAACUCCGUGCCAGCAGCCGCGGUAAUACGGAGGAUCCGAGCGUUAUCCGGAUUUAUUGGGUUUAAAGGGAGCGUAGGUGGAUUGUUAAGUCAGUUGUGAAAGUUUGCGGCUCAACCGUAAAAUUGCAGUUGAAACUGGCAGUCUUGAGUACAGUAGAGGUGGGCGGAAUUCGAGGUGUAGCGGUGAAAUGCGUAGAUAUCAGGAAGAACACCAGUGGCGAAGGCGGCUCACUGGACUGCAACUGACGCUGAGGCUCGAAAGUGUGGGUAUCAAACAGGAUUAGAUACCCCGGUAGUC